rnacentral:rRNA from 1 species
CCUACGGGUGGCAGCAGUGGGGGAUAUUGCACAAUGGGGGGAACCCUGAUGCAGCGACGCCGCGUGGGGGAAGGAGUGCUUCGGCAUGUAAAGCCCUAUCGGCAGGGAAGAAGCAAGACGGUACCUGACUAAGAAGCCCCGGCUAACUACGUGCCAGCAGCCGCGGUAAUACGUAGGGGGCGAGCGUUAUCCGGAAUUACUGGGUGUAAAGGGAGCGUAGACGGCCAUGCAAGCCAGGGGUGAAAGCCCGGGGCCUAACCCCGGGACCGCCCUUGGAACUGUGCGGCUAGAGUGCGGGAGGGGCAGGCGGAAUUCCUGGUGUAGCGGUGAAAUGCGUAGAUAUCAGGAGGAACACCAGCGGCGAAGGCGGCCUGCUGGGCUGUGACUGACGUUGAGGCUCGAAAGCGUGGGGAGCGAACAGGAUUAGAUACCCUAGUAGUC